GGCUCCGUAGCUUGGAGGAAUAAAAGCGCUAGUCUAGCGAAUUGUGAGUAGUGGGUUCGAUUCCCACCAGAGCAC
rnacentral:tRNA from 1 species